UACCAGCCCCCUGAGUGAUAGGGACGAUUAUUUAGCCUAAAGCGUCCGUAGCCGGCUUAGAAAGUCUUUCGUCAAAUCUGACGACUUAAUCGUGAGUCUGCGGAAGAUACUACUAGGCUUGAGGGCGGGAGAGGUUGACGGUAGUCCAGGGGUAGGGGUGAAAUCCUAUAAUCCUUGGAGGACCACCAGUGGCGAAGGCGGUCAACUAGAACGCGCCUGACGGUGAGGGACGAAAGCUGGGGGAG
rnacentral:rRNA from 1 species